rnacentral:rRNA from 1 species
UGGGGAAUAUUGCGCAAUGGGCGAAAGCCUGACGCAGCGACGCCGCGUGGGGGAUGAAGGCCUUCGGGUUGUAAACCCCUUUCAGCAGGGACGAAGCGAAAGUGACGGUACCUGCAGAAGAAGCGCCGGCUAACUACGUGCCAGCAGCCGCGGUAAUACGUAGGGCGCAAGCGUUGUCCGGAAUUAUUGGGCGUAAAGAGCUCGUAGGCGGUCUGUCACGUCUGCUGUGAAAUCCCGGGGCUUAACCCCGGGCGUGCAGUGGAUACGGGCAGACUAGAGGCAGGUAGGGGAGAAUGGAAUUCCCGGUGUAGCGGUGAAAUGCGCAGAUAUCGGGAGGAACACCGGUGGCGAAGGCGGUUCUCUGGGCCUGACCUGACGCUGAGGAGCGAAAGCGUGGGGAGCGAACA